CUGGCUGCCCGCGGGGGUUCAGAAAGGGUCCUGUCAGUUCCACCUCCUAGCCCUCCCGCGCCCAUUCCUAUGGAGUUAGGGGGGGCCGCGUCGAGGGGAACCGGAGGAGGGCGCUCCUCCUGCACCAGCUGUGGUCGGAAAGGACACACGGCCGACUGGUGCUGGGGUGGGGCCCCUCUGGGAGUCGAGAGGGCAGGCAGAACACUUCUCUGUCAUUCCAGGCCGGUGGUAGCUGGUCCCCUACAAGACGGUGAGGUGCCGGAGGUCCCUCCGCCCCCUCUAGACAUCAAGGGGUCCCCGGCGUACACAGUAUGUGCUAUUCUGGACUCGAGAAGCCGGGUGAGGGGCCUGCAGUACCUCGUGGACUGGGAGAGGUACAGCCCGGAGGAGAGGUGCUGGGUACCGGUGGGGGUACCGGUGGGGGACAUCCUGGAUCCAUCACUGUUGAGGGAUUUCCAUCGCCUCCAUCCGGAUCGCCCUACGCCUCGCCCUCCGGGUCGGCGCACUGCGGGAGCCGCGCGUCGGGGGGGAUACUUUCAGGAUUCCUACUGAGGGUGACUCCUCUCCCUGUUCGGGUGGCGCUCGGCGGUCGUCGUCACCGGCCUACUAGCUGCCACCGAUCCCUUUUUCCCUUUCUGUUUGUUUUGUCUAAUUAGUUUCACCUGUUUUCAUUUAGGCUUGUUAGUUGGGCUAUUUAAGCCAGUAGGCCCGCCUGUUCUUUGUGCGGACUUAAUGAUCCUUCCACUGUGUUCUGUGUGGUGGAUAGUAUAUUUUGGGCGUUUGUAUUUUGGUGCGCCCGACAUUUUG
rnacentral:lncRNA from 1 species